GGAGCAGUAGCUCAGUUGGUUAGAGCACCUGCCUGUCACGCAGGGGGUCGAGAGUUCGAGUCUCUUCUGUUCCGCCA
rnacentral:tRNA from 2 species